UACGGGGGGAGCAAGCGUUGUUCGGAUUUACUGGGCGUAAAGGGCGCGUAGGCGGUCGUGACAAGUCACUUGUGAAAUCUCCGGGCUUAACUCGGAACGGUCAAGUGAUACUGUCGGACUAGAGUACAGAAGGGGCAACUGGAAUUCUCGGUGUAGCGGUGAAAUGCGUAGAUAUCGAGAGGAACACCUGCGGCGAAGGCGGGUUGCUGGGCUGAUACUGACGUGAGGCGCGAAAGCCAGGGGAGCGAACGGGG
rnacentral:rRNA from 1 species